CAAAUACGCGAAGGAGUCCAGACAAGAGAAACGUUGCUCCCGCCAAAUUCGAGCGCAUCCACAGCCAGAGGAUAUCGUGAGCAUUCAGAGCAGCCAAAACAGCGUGAGGCAGACACCGAUGACUCGCCGCGUUUGCGAAGCCACAGGGAUUUCCACAGUCGCGAGCAACAUCAGAGCGGAGGGAUGACGGCUUUUGGAAGACCUAAUUGGGUCACGCAUAGUGCAAUACAUGAGCUAUCCAUCUGAAGUUGAAAUGAAGCUGAGGAGAUGAAGAGAAUCAUUUUAUAAAAUUAAUUGGUGACACGGGAACUUGCUUGCCAUACCGAAGACGGGUGUGCAGAAUGGAAUUUCCCCUCCAAUAAACUCGGUCACUUGAGCACACACCUGAGAAACCAGAAGCAGAGGAGAACAGGAGAAAAAAGUAUGAUGGCUGUGUUUUUAAGUGGCAGCCUGAAAGAGAAUGUGCCUUUGGAAUGUCUUUCCUCGGCCCAUGAUGUGGAUGCCAAACGAGUGAGCCUCUCAUCCUCUUGGACCAGUUUACAAUAUUUUAAUGCUGAAUUCCGUAGUUACUUUACCUUACUUGGGGUCUAAACUGAUUUGUCAUAAUACAAUUAAUAAAUACCUACCAUGCCUGAAUACAUAUCUAUCACUAUAGGAAAGACCAGAGUCAACAAAAUGCAUGAAUGAAAGAUUAUCCACCUACCCACAACACACCACAGUCUCAGUAGACCACACUAUUGUCUCUUUCUAAUCACCUCUGUUUAUCUCACAGACACACAGAGAGAACCAGGGUGGGUUUGAUUGUUUUAUUGCACUUAAAUGGUGAUGACUCCCAAAAACAACAGUUUUCAUUUACAUGCACUGUUUUCUGUAAUUAAACUUUCUGACUUGAUUUUCUCCUUCCUUUUAACAAACAGAGUGGGUUACUGUAUGCAAAUGAUGCCUGUCACAUGUGCAAAUUAGCCUGCUGGGACACUAAAGAUGAAAGUACAUUUACAGUUUAACAUUUUUUGUACACAUUUAACAUUUGCAUAUAAAGCCCUUUC